rnacentral:ncRNA from 2 species
AUACUCAAUCAGGGGAGCCAUUUUUGGCUGAGAGGUUUGAAAACAAACGACCCUUUGAACUUGAUCCAGCUAAUACUGGCGAAAGGAGAUCGCAUGAAAUCAGA